rnacentral:rRNA from 1 species
AGUGAACGCUGGCGGUAGGCCUAACACAUGCAAGUCGAACGGCAGCACAGUAAGAGCUUGCUCUUACGGGUGGCGAGUGGCGGACGAGUGAGGAAUACAUCGGAAUCUACUUUUUCGUGGGGGAUAACGUAGGGAAACUUACGCUAAUACCGCAUACGACCUACGGGUGAAAGCAGGGGAUCUUCGGACCUUGCGCGAUUGAAUGAGCCGAUGUCGGAUUAGCUAGUUGGCGGGGUAAAGGCCCACCAAGGCGACGAUCCGUAGCUGGUCUGAGAGGAUGAUCAGCCACACUGGAACUGAGACACGGUCCAGACUCCUACGGGAGGCAGCAGUGGGGAAUAUUGGACAAUGGGCGCAAGCCUGAUCCAGCCAUACCGCGUGGGUGAAGAAGGCCUUCGGGCUGUAAAGCCCUUUUGUUGGGAAAGAAAAGCAGCAGGUUAAUACCCCGCUGUUCUGACGGUACCCAAAGAAUAAGCACCGGCUAACUUCGUG